GCUAAAACUGUAGGAAACUACGGGUAGCCUAGUGUAUAAGGCGGGAAUACUCGAUCACGUGACGAUGACUCGCCUGAAGGAUUAAACGCGCCAUUAUCUCCAAAAUGGCUACUGGUUUAAGUACAGGUAAAGAGAUCUAGACGAACCCUAUUCAUGUAUGGACCAGUUUGCAGAUUGAGGAGGUCCUGACUGACUUCAGCAAGAGUUACAGCAGAACAAUGAGAUGCCAGUGUUUGAUUCAGAGCACAUCUGCAUGAGGACACGUGUGAUGCUCCUCAACUCAUGAACAGCCCAUUACAGCACAGAGACACUGUUGUGUUGAUGAGAGAGAGCCGUGAGUCAUGAAAGUCAUUUUCAACCCGUCACAGAAACCAUAGAAAUGUGACAUGUCGUGGGGUCUUACUUGAGGAAGCUCCAGGCGAGGCAGGGAGACAGACAGUGAAGGACGCAGGAGGGCAGCUGGAAGAUGGA